CCCAGCUCAAAACAUUGAUGGUUUAGUCUUGAUAUUUGACCGAUUCUAGGAAGCCGGUGUCACAUAACUUGGGCAUGUUAAAGAUUAGCCAUUCACCCAGAACGUUUUAGAUAUAGAUGCCCUCUAAUACAAAUCAAGAAAUGGCCAAGGGACUCACACAAUGAGUGGAGGUCAACUUUAGAAAAGAGUAUCCCAGUCCGAUAUCGUUUGUGGCAACGGAAUGGUUGGCAGACGCGGAACAUCAGUAUCCACAUGGAGCAUGCUCGCAACGUAGGGGAAUACAGAAUCGGUAUCCGUAGGCUCUCUGUCGCCGAUUUUGUAGGUUCCACGAGUGUCCUGCAUAAAAGAUUGUCAAUCGUGACGAGAAAGCGAACGGUAGGACCUUGAACGAAAAAUCGAAGAAGACACAGAAUUUUAGCUAAUAUAUUCGUAGGGUUACAAUAUUACAAAAAUGUGGGACUGGUCCUGGACUCAAAAGGGAUAAAUUUCGAGAUUAUUUUACAUUGACAUUCUUUGUUCUACCACACCUGCCGACAGUGCACACGGUCGGCUGUCAUUGUUACUUGUUAAUUACAUUUUAUUGUGCAAGGAUUGAAAUUAUUAUAUUGUGUCAUGGGAUGAGGGCCAAUGGGCCAUCACAUUAUUUAAAGUGUAGUGAAUGUAAAUUUGUGAUUUAAGUUGCUACAAGUCGUGAUUAUCAUAGUGUGCAUCCAAACAUUAUACUUAUAGUUGCAUGUGACACUGUAUCACUUUCUAUAUUAAUAUAGAAGCCGCAUGAGAGUGCAGUAUAAGUGAUUAUAAAUACCAAGCUCGUUGGA